rnacentral:lncRNA from 1 species
CUCCCUGUGAUCUGCUAUCAACAAGCAUUUAGCACUCAUCCAUCCCAAAAUUCAUGUUCACCCAGAACCUCAGAAUGUAACCUUAUGUGGAAAUAGGGUCUUUACAGAUAUAAUUAAGAUAAGGACCAAAAUGAGAUUAUAUUCGAUUAGGGUGGGCCCUAAAUCCAAUGACAAAUGUCAUUAUUAUAAGACACAAAAAAUUAUAAUACUUAGACACGGAGGAGAAGAUAGCACAAAGGUGGACACAGACUGGAGUGAUGCAGCAAUAAGCCAAGAAAUACCGGAGAUUGUAGGAAGCCACCCGAGCUAGGAAAAGGGAAGGGAGGAAUCUUCCUUUGAGACUGUGGCGGGAACA